UGCAGUAAGGAGAAAUAAAGGUUGAGUGAUAUGAUAUGCUAAAACAGAUUAAAUAAAAGGRCUAGGUGUAAUAGGGAAGAAAAAAUAAGAGGGCAUGUGACAAAGGAAAAUGAUAAUACAGAGAAAAAAUAAUUAAUCUGAUGAAGAUAGAUACAAAGGUAGUUCAGUGCUAAAAGAAUAUAAGAAAAGAGUGAAAGGUAGGUUGGACAUUUCCUUCUGGAGACAAAGAGACUUCUGUAAAUAUGGCACAAGAGGAACUGUGAGACAAAUGAAAUGCAUUGAGUUUGUGAGGAAGCAUGAUGGAAAAAAAGAUUAUUUCAAAGCUGGUAUUCAGUGCUCAGAUUCCCCUGUCUACAUCCUACCAUGGUAUUUGCUCUUCUCAUGGCUUCUGCUACAAUCUCGCUCUGCCACCAGGCUUGAUGCACAUUACCCCAAGUAUGAGCCAAGCAAUUGUCUGAAAUCACUGGAAGUUGGUCUGUUGGCUAUUCAAAGUCUGGAGUGAAGAGCUGACUGAGCUUGCAUACGAUUUUUUUAAUGACUUAUGCUUUCUGACUUCAAACCAAUGGGGAUGAGUGCUUUAUGAUUGAGAUGAACUUUGACUAAGUGCAUUCAAAAUCUGCCAUUAUACCCUGACAUAGUCCCAGCUUUUGAACACUUCAAGAUGUUCUAAGCCAAGGGUAGCAACAAGACUAGARGGGGCAGCAGUAUUUCUCCUAUAUUGAGGUCCCUGCGGCCUCUCAAACCUUUUGUAGUCAGCGAUUAUCAGUAGAGGCACUCCAACCACAGCCUUACCUGUAUUUCCCAAAAGUGUUGCCAAGAGUCUCAAAUCAUGACAGUGUUUGUUUGCCAUUCAAAAAUACAAAUUCCCUAAAGGCCAUACCAGCUUUGUGUGUGUCCCUUUUGCUGUUACAAAGGUCUGUUAUGCAUUGAAGAAGUGCAAUAUUAUUGCAAUUCAUCUGUCAGUCAAAGGCAUCAAUUUGAACAUUGUUUCUUCUUCACAAACCAGCUGUUAAGAAAGAAACCUGUCUCUUGUCAUUGAUAAAGAAAUUUUGCUGUAAGAGGAAGAUGGAGAUAUUGGGGAUACCACCAAAUGCAUGUAUAUGUAUCUCUUAACUGAGAAAAAUUGAACAAUUUUUCUUGGAUAUCAGAAGCAAUUCAUUAUCUGGGAAAGGAGGCUACCCAACACUGCUCGUCAUUUCAUGGGAAACUACAUGCAACACUACGGUGCCAACAUCUAAACUGCAUAUUCUGUCUUCCCCCCCCUUAAACUGCACCUAAUCCAAAAGACCAUAUGUGCUUCAGUUUACUAGUGUUCCCCAGGUAUUCUGCUUCUGGGCAUGCCCAGAAACUUCUCAAAUGUAGCCACUCUCCAAGGAAGGCUGAAGGUGGUGAAUCCUCCAAGAUGAGUGAGUUGCCUGUCUGCACUACUGAACAAAGCCUGUGAAGAGGGAUCGAAUUUAAAGAAAUACUGAGGACAGGGAGAUGUUUUAGCUUCUUCUCCC
rnacentral:lncRNA from 1 species